GACGAACGCUGGCGGCGUGCUUAACACAUGCAAGUCGAACGGAAAGGCCUGCUUUCCCUUGUGGAUUGCGGGUACUCGAGUGGCGAACGGGUGAGUAACACGUGAGUGAUCUGCCCCCAACUUGGGUAUAAGCCUGGGAAACUGGGUCUAAUUCCCGAUAGGACUGCAGGGUGGUGCCUGUGGUGGAAAACGAUUUUCUAGUGGUUGGGGAUGAGCUCGCGGCCUAUCAGCUUGUUGGUGGGGUAAUGGCCUACCAAGGCGGCGACGGGUAGCCGGCCUGAGAGGGUGGACGGCCACAUUGGGACUGAGAUACGGCCCAGACUCCUACGGGAGGCAGCAGUGGGGAAUAUUGCACAAUGGGCGGAAGCCUGAUGCAGCGACGCCGCGUGGGGGAUGACGGCCUUCGGGGUGUAAACUCCUUUCGACCGCGAGGAAGCCACCUGGUUGGAAGGGUGGUGACGGUAGGGGUAGAAGAAGCACCGGCUAACUACGUGC
rnacentral:rRNA from 1 species